AAUAGGGAUCCUCCUCGCACUGCCUCUCUCCCUCUUCCUCUUCCUUGCUGCACCCAUGGCAACAAGCCAGCAAAGCUCGAUUUCACGCUGGAGAAUCUCAACCCCUUGACGGAAUCGAUCGAUUUCUCGUCCGAGUGGUCAAAUCCUUAUCAGGGAGGUCAAAUCCUUGCCAGGGAGAUUGACGGAGAAGGCUGAUUUCUUACUGGUCGCCUUUUUGAGCACCUAGGGCCAAUGCGGCAUUAUGCCAGCGUGCCAAUGCCCAGCGUUUAAGCACACCUAGGCAAGCGCCUAACAACGCUUUUUUAACUAUGGUGCGGAUAAUCUAAUACCAAAGGACUUGGCCCUCAAAAUUGCAACCAAGAUUAGAGCUGGCGAACGAUUUUCAGUUUAUGUAGUCAUACCAAUGUGGCCUGAAGGAAUCCCUACCUCAGCCUCUGAGCAGGAUUUUUUUCUUUUAGGCACAUUCGGGCGUGAUGGGAUUCCGGUCCACUCUUCUGGCAGGACCCUCCUGGUGAACGAGGGUGGCAUCCUCAUGAAGAGCCUGCAAAUGGGGGAAUUUUACUACCUAAUUCGUCGCUUCUUGUGCUGCAUCCAACAAGAUGAAUGAUUCUAAUGAACAAGUACUCAUAUCGAUCUAAUUAAUCAGCUCCAUAUCUAGCCGGUUAGAAGAAUGAAGGUUUCUGUAUAUGUAUAAAAGGAAACCAAAGAAGCUUGCAUUUCUGAUCAAGCUUCAAUGAGUGCUAGUGUUCUUGCUUUC